rnacentral:rRNA from 1 species
UAAUACGUAGGGUGCAAGCGUUAUCCGGAAUUAUUGGGCGUAAAGGGCUCGUAGGCGGUUCGUCGCGUCCGGUGUGAAAGUCCAUCGCUUAACGGUGGAUCUGCGCCGGGUACGGGCGGGCUGGAGUGCGGUAGGGGAGACUGGAAUUCCCGGUGUAACGGUGGAAUGUGUAGAUAUCGGGAAGAACACCAAUGGCGAAGGCAGGUCUCUGGGCCGUUACUGACGCUGAGGAGCGAAAGCGUGGGGAGCGAACAGGAUUAGAUACCCUGGUAGUCCACGCCGUAAACGGUGGAUGCUGGAUGUGGGGCCCGUUCCACGGGUUCCGUGUCGGAGCUAACGCGUUAAGCAUCCCGCCUGGGGAGUACGGCCGCAAGGCUA